GCAGACACAUUCCAGCCAAUCAGCGGCAGACCCUCCCUCCCAGACCCUCCCACCUCCUGGACAGCAUCCAUUUUACAUUCAUUGUGAAGCUGCAUUCUUAGUGAGCUGUCCAGGAGGUGGGAGGGUCUGGGAGGGAGGGUCUGCUGCUGAUUGGCUGGAAUGUGUCUG
rnacentral:miRNA from 1 species